CCGAACACCUGCGCACCCUCUCCUCUCCCCUCUAUUUCUCCAGCCACUAGUACCCGACGCCUCCAAAACCAGUGCGCGGUCCGUUCACAGUCGUCGUUCGUCGGACCCACGCCGUCACUGCUCGUCCACCAAGACCAGCGCCCUCUCGUUGCUCCUCACCUGGUAUGUCCGCAUCGUCGCUCCUACCCGCCGGCGCUGUCAAGCCUCCGCUGGUGCCACCGUGACCUGCCUUCUUCCUCGUCCCCGGCGGACUUUAUCAUCUCUGG
rnacentral:lncRNA from 7 species